UGGCGGACGGGUGAGUAAUGUCUGGGAAACUGCCCGAUGGAGGGGGAUAACUACUGGAAACGGUAGCUAAUACCGCAUAACGUCGCAAGACCAAAGAGGGGGACCUUCGGGCCUCUUGCCAUCGGAUGUGCCCAGAUGGGAUUAGCUAGUAGGUAAGGUAACGGCUUACCUAGGCGACGAUCCCUAGCUGGUCUGAGAGGAUGAUCAGCCACACUGGGACUGAGACACGGCCCAG
rnacentral:rRNA from 1 species